GAGCCGGAUCCUGGAAGACCUCAUUUAAGGGUUGGCAGUGAGGUAAGAGUGUUUUGCUGAAGAUCUCUUUGUACCUGAGGCAUUCUGAAGGUUUGAUUAGAAGCCUGCUAUAUUGUGGGGAGAACAAUUGGGAUGAAGUGUAUGGUUAUUACAACUAACCACAGGGGAAAAUCCUGUUCCUGAUAUGAUCUUUGAAGGGAAGGUCUACAAUCUGCUAAGAAGACAUUCAACAUUCAGCUUCCAUUUUGAAAGGAGGAACCAAAAAGAACGCCAACAGAACAAAAGCUCAAAAUGAGCCACCUUCACCCAUGUCUAGCAGGGGCUGCUGUUACUUCCAGAGAUGACUGAUUUAUGUUUGGGAUUUUCAGCUUUUCUGAUGAUUUUCUCUGUUGGCUAACCUAUGGCCACUUCCCUGCUUCCAGCAACUACAGAGUCAUUUAAAAUAUGCUUCUUUCCUGUGCAAGUAUGCAGUCAUGUUAUGAAGUAGAAAAUGAAGAAAAAGUCUGCAUUUAUGAAAAAUGAACUUGUAAGUAAGGAGUUUGUUCUCUGGAGUCAUAUUGGGAAAAUCACUGCCACAAACUUGGCUAAUAUUACAGAAAGAGGAGAAAAUGACGGAAUGGAAGCUAAGCAGUAUGAUCAAAAGGAGCACUGAGUCGGUUGGGAAGAGUAUCUGGUCAGCUUACCAGCUGAGGCACACAUCUGCUCCUUUGAUGAUGUUUCAAGCCACUGCUGCAGCAGAAGUUUGACAGCUUGCAAGGAAGCUGGUCAGAGAAGAAUUAAGAAGCUGUAACAGCUGUCUUAAUAGAGUCAGGUCUGUGGCUACCUGCCUUUCCUCAAGAUGAGGUGAUCUAAAAAUAGUUAAAAAAUAAAUAGGGUGAGGAGACUGUAUUUUAAGCAGUUUCAUCUGCAAAUCCUGAGUGAUUCUGCUGACAUCCAAUUAUACAAAUGUAAUGGAGAUCAUCAUCUAGGCCUUGAUUUGAAAAUGACAUUUCACUGCUUUGGCAGCUCUAAAAAUACUGACAUUUCUAGUAGCUGGAGGCCAUAAAAAUAUUGAUUCAGCAACAGAAUUGUUUUGUAAAGCAGUGAUAGUUGGCUGGCUUCUGAACUGUAGUGUGUUGCUCCAGGCUCUACAGUAUAUUGCUAACAAGGAAGGAGUAGGGCCAUUGAAAGCCAAACAUGUGUUAGUGGGGGAUAUUGCUGAAGGAAUCAAAUGUCAUAUACCACUUGCUAAGUGUUGUUGCAGCUUUCAGACUACACACCCCAUUGUUAGGUAACCUGGCAAAAAAUCUGCUUUGGUAAUACUGGAUUUGUGCUGUAGCUUAAGCUAAUACCAGUCAGAGGAGAGGAUUCCAGAUCCUUCUUCCUAUGGGGACUUAUUGAUUGAGCAUCUGUUCCCUGUAAGAACUAUUUACUGAAUGUUAAAAUAUGAAAUCCACGGUAUUUGGAGAAAUUAAAAUAAUAAAAUAUCACUGGACAGAAUGAGCUUGCCUCUCACUGUCAAAAUGGGCAUGAAUCUGAGCCGUAAAAAACAAAGUAGAAGCACUUAUUGUUAUUUACACUAUGUGGGCCAUGUAGUUAUCUUUUCAUUAGGAGAACAGUGGGGGAAAAAACCUUAGGAAAAAUGUACUUCAUUAAUAGAGGCUUUUCAGAAAGAGCUUAUUCAACAACCCCUGCCAUGCUCCAGCAAAUACUGAAAUAGAUCACUGCAGUACAAGAAGUGUAUUUGGGGAACUGACAUGCCUUAGAGUCUGAGCUGGGCUGCCUCUAUUAAUUCUGCAUAUAUAACCUCUAAAACAGGCAAGUUUUGCUACUGUCUUGACGUUCAAAGAAAUUAGGGAGCGUUGAGAGUGAGGAAGGAAUCCCUUUUCUCUGCUGUAAUUGUGCUGUUCUAACUAAAAAUUACAUGUGCUAUUGACAUUUGGUGUAUGUAUGAUAGACUCUUUGCAUUUACUGUUCAAGAAAAUAUUUUGUCUUAAGCCUCUAUUUUCUUUCUGCUUUCUGCACCACAUUUUGACCGCUUUGUUCCCAUUCAGUCCCUGUGGCAAUGCAUGCUUCAUUAGCAUUCAUUAUCCUCUUGGGGGAUUGCAGUUGUGGGGUUGUUGUUUGGUUUUGGUUGUGCUUUUGUUGUUGUUUUGUAUUUGGAUUCAUGUGUCUGUGAAAAUAGUAACUCUCCAUUUAAUCCAAAGGGACUGGCAUUUGUUUAUUCUGAGGAGGCAAGUUAGAGGUUUAGCAUCUCUUCUACUUCAGUCCUCCUUUCAGGAGCUGUCAAUUUCAGACAAGGGAGAUAGUUCAGAUCCAUGGCAGUGCAAAACUGAUAGAGUGCUUCAAAAAUUGCUGGAAACAUAGGACCAAGUGUAAUGCUGACCAACACAGCUGUGCUGGAGCCUGAUCAGUAAAGCAGCUGUCUGAAUCAAUCAUUUGAAGAUGGGUAUUAAGCAAGUCUCUGCAAGCUGCUCAUCCAAACUUGAGCAUUGAUAAUAUCUGUAGUAUGAGAAGGUUGGAGGUGAGAGAAGGGGAAGGAAGGAAACUUUGAUUCAUUUCCUAUUCCUGUGGUAAUAGCUAAUCUUCCCAGUAUCUGAACAACAUGAUUGCUCCCAUACCUAUAAUUUAAAACUUGAUGAGGCAUCCAUGAAACUGCCUUGCAAGUAGCAGACAAAUCAGAAGUCAAAGCCAAUGAUAUUACUGAUCAUUUCUUUUCCUCCUAGAAGUUACUGUAUUUUGAGGACAAGAUACCUCUGUUGCUGCCAUUAUGGUUACAUAAAAAAAAACUAAUGGUUUUGAUUAAUUCCAUAUUUUAUGUGUUGGGGGUGUGGGGGGGGGAGCAAGAAGUUCUACUCUCUUUGAAACCGAGUAACAUCACACCUUCAAUAAAUAGGUGGUCUGAACUGAGGUUAAGGGAAUCCAUCUGGGCGGCAUCUGAAGCUGUAAAUGACUACAUCGUGCUGACAAAAAAUUUCUUGCAUGUACAUAGGGGGGCAAUUUUAGGAGAUUGUCUAUAAAAUUUUAUGAAGUUAUGCUUAUAGGAUGUUCUAGAAGAAUGUAAUGGGCACAAAUUGCAGAGAAUGCAAUCCACGUGAGGGAAACUAGCAUAUCAAGCAAUUACAGUUUCAUCAGCUAAAAAUUUAAUCUUGCAUCUAGUUAUUGGAAUAAGCACAUGAAAACCAUGAGAAAGAGUUUAGGUCAUAAAAUCUGCUUCUACAUUAACUACAACUAGAACAACAGUUUUCCUUUUUUUCCUUUUUCUAUUUUUCUUUCUUUGUUAUUUUAUGGAGAAAGAAAUCACUGUGAGGUCUGGAAAUCAUUGGAAAACAAUCUGCAAGUUGAAGGCCUUGGUAUCAAAGCUCCUUCUGUCCUUGUGAGCUGAUCCUUUCCAUUAGGUCUCCUCUCAGCUCAUUAAGGACAAACUCUUUAUGAGACUUUGCUUCUCCUUUGUCUUGCAGCAGGUUUAGCUCUUGUCUGUUUGGGGUGAUACAGACUAGUGACGAUUUUAGAAUCAAGAUAGCAAAAGCUGCAAUCUGGAAAGAAAAAGCCAAAUAAUGGACCUCCUUGACCUCUUUGGUUACUUUGGUUACUUGAUUUUUCACACGGUUCUUGUCCUCUCCAGUGCACUAAUCUGUUGGGUGUUUUAACUGCAGAAUAGGCAGUCUGUGUAAGGAAACGUGGAGAGAUCAUGAAGUAUUUUUUCCAUUUCUAUGUACCGAUGAACUUAGUCCAAAUCUGCUAGCGUUCACAUGAAUACCAUAGUUUGGAGUUCAGUUCUGAUUAUUUGUUUGAGAAUAUAUUUAUCUUAUCAGAUCCUUCAGCUCAAAACAUCAGAAUAUGAAACUCGUAGGUGACUAGAGAGCAUAGAAAUCCCAAAGGCUGUGCUCUCCUUUUGGGGGUUGAUUUUCUUUUUGUACUCUGAGGACUGAGGUUAGGCUGGAGUCUUAUACCAUCUUUGACUCUUUUGCAACUGGAAUUGGAAACCCAGCAUUUUUUUCCGUAUGAGAAAUUUUGUUACUGAAGUUUCAAUUGAAACUUUAUAUCAAAAGAGAAGAAAAGCUCUUUCAGAAAAAUAACUGUGUUUUCCCUCAGAUGCAGAGGAAGGGUUCAGAAACAUACCAUGAAAUUGAAAUUUCUCAAAGUGCCUCUUAAAUCUUUGCUGCAAUUACUGUAAUUCACAAUAAUAGAUCCAGUACUAUUUUUAAAAGCUUUUGAAGGUUGCAAGUAGCAUCCAUAAAUUGUGGGUUGUGGGCAAUCUAUGAAACCAUAGGUUUCCAGGGCUUUUAUUUAAAUGAGAGAAUGAGAGAGAAAGAUGUAAUAAAAGUAGUAAAGAAAAAACCUGAAAGUUUUCUUUGUGCUGAACAGUAAUUCUGAGGCAGGAAAUACCUCAGUCUUCACAAAAGUUGUUUUCUUGUUGAACAAGAUUUUGCAAGUCUGGAAUAAGUAUCUUUUAAUGCAGUCGUGUUUUUAUAGAGACUGACUAAAUUUGUAGUUCACUGGUCAUAUCUCCUAAUGAUGAAGAGAAUAUGGAGAGAGAUAUACAAUAGUUGGAGAAACUUGUUCAGUUUUCUCUAAAUUUAUACAUUCUUAAGAUGGGUG